rnacentral:rRNA from 1 species
CCAGAGAUGGAUUGGUGCCUUCGGGAACUGUGAGACAGGUGCUGCAUGGCUGUCGUCAGCUCGUGUUGUGAAAUGUUGGGUUAAGUCCCGCAACGAGCGCAACCCUUAUCCUUUGUUGCCAGCGGUCGGCCGGGAACUCAAAGGAGACUGCCAGUGAUAAACUGGAGGAAGGUGGGGAUGACGUCAAGUCAUCAUGGCCCUUACGACCAGGGCUACACACGUGCUACAAUGGCGCAUACAAAGAGAAGCGACC